AAUUUUCGAAAUGAAGAACUGUAACUUUCUUCCUAUGCUCUCUAUGCUAGUACUUUUGCUAAGUCUAGUUUCUCUUUCUAUGGGUAAGCGUUCAAUUUUAUCUUGCAUUUCUUACUCUUUCAUUUUAGAAUCUUUUAUUUUAAUUAUUAUUUUUAUUUAUCAAAUAUACAUCAUUUCAUAACUGUAGUGUUCGCGUCAGCUUUCGUGCAUAUCAACUAAUUCCCAUGAUACAUGCUACAUGUUGGAAAUAAUCACCUAAUAAUUUUUCCGUCCACUGAGAUUUUAACCACAAAGCUUAUAAUCCCAACAUACUUUAUUGACCACUAAGCCAAAACUGUGGAUGCAUUAUAUCAUAUUUGUUUUUGACUUUCUUUUUUUACACCUUGUUACUUUUAUGUUGUUCUUAAUUUUCUGUCGUCUGUUGCUAAAUAUAGAAACUCUAAGUCAAAUUAUUUUUUGGAUUUUUCCAGAGAUAGUAUGACCUUUUUAAUUCAUUUUACGGCAGAUAUGUCAUAUCGCAUUUCAGACUAUCCAGACUAUAAUGUCAAAUAUUUCAUGAGAAAUUUUGGAUUAAAAGCAAAUUGUGUUAUAAAUACUGAUCAAUCUUUCUUUGCUUAUUCCUUUGAUUGUAGGACAACAAAAAUUAUACCCAGUUAGCUUCGCGAAAAUUGGUGAUUGUGGUAUUAGUGCAAGUCAAGACUGUCUUAGUGCUUCAGUUAGGCUAUUCCCAGCAAGCGCGAUGGUUCAAAAUUGUGAAUGCAGUCUUAGUGUAACACCAAAUCACAGCGUUGUCGUUGUCAAAUAAUUUGCAGAUCUCCUCCUCCACCACAAUCGAAUUAAUAACUUAUUACUGCUAUAUAUGUAGUCCACUUCAAUUUAUUUUUAUUGCUUGGAUCUGAAAAAGGAGUAGUUCAUUAGUUCAAAGAGUAAUUCUUACAAGAACAUUUUUCUUUUGUUUCUUGAUAUAUUUGUAAUCCUACUAUUAAACAAC
rnacentral:lncRNA from 1 species